UAUAUUUCUCACAAGAGAGAGGAGUCCCAUCUUACUAUCUUAGACUAAAAGUUUAUCUAGUACAAAAACAACUAUAAAAUUCACAAUUCCUUUAUUCUGCUUCUCCUUAAUUUUACGAAGAUGCAGGCAACUACACUGGUAGCUGAAGCAGUGUGGAAGAGCAUUGAGUCAACUCAUUCAGUGACUGAUGAUCAACUGGGCAUAUUGCAAUUUUUGUUUGGGAAAAAUCUUGAGCGAGCAACCAGAAUAGUUGAUCAACGAGGUGUCAAGAAACUCUGUGGAGAACCAAGUGGGCAUUCCAUUUUUCAGGUUGUUGGAGAAUCUCGGAAGAAAGAAGAAUACUUAUGUUUUGCAGAAAACUAUUGUGGGUGCUACUCAUUCUUUUAUGAUGUAGUGAAUAGAGGAGAGCAGCAUUGUUGCAAGCACCAGCUCGCUGCGAGAUUGGCUGCAUCACUAGGAGCAUUUAUACAAGUGGAUUUGCCUGACGAGGAGCUCGCAAUAUUGCUCGCACAGCUGUAACCAGUAACCAGCAAUCUAGCAUGACUUAUGCAGUUGGAGGGAGACUACUUUGCUGAUCCUUGGCUGCUACUGAUAGCUGAAAACAGUUCUAAUAAUACCCUGGUGUUUCAGAACGAUACCAUGAUUCGAUUUUCAUGACCAUUUCCGAAAACCUAUAUUGUACACCGGCACCCCGAUGUAUAGUACACAAGGUUAUAUUUUUGCUCACUCCUCAAUUUUUGCUCAUUUAGAGCUCUACAAAUGAGCAAUGAGCAAUGAGCAAAGAAAUAGACUUGGGUGUACCAUACACUCGGGUGUAUAAUAUAAAGUGCAACCAUUUCCAUGUAUGCUUUCCGAAUAUUUUACAAUUUACUAAGCUGAAGCGAAUGACAAAGUGAGUCUUUUCGUAUAGAGCAAAUAUAAAGACUGUCUUGUUAAGUGACAAAUCAAAAGCUAGUGCAAAUUGUGAAGAUUUUUUAUUAGUUAAGUGGAAAACUUAAACUGCCAUGUCUGGCAAACAGUUGAUUUAAUUAAUUUUGACAAACAUGGGGAUCAAAGUUGGUAAUUUACUAAAGCGAGGGACAAACAUCUAUAAAUAUUGUUCAGGAAGAAUAAUUAGAAUACUUAGCUUGCAACUGAAAUUCAUCCGAAUGAUACAUAUAUCCACAAUAUCUUGGCCAAUUGUUCCACCGUCAACAUCAAAUCAAGGCAACUAGAUGUUAUUCUAUUCCCUCUUGAUCAAGUAAUUUAACAUAAAUCAAUCUCAAUUAAGUCUCUUGCUUCACUUGCUUGUAUGAUCUCUACAACCUGUUGAACGUCAACCAAGCUUUUCUCCUUUCUAAGCACCAUCAGUCAUUAAGAUUCAUCCAAAAAUAACGUGAUCGUCAGCUUUACAAUACUCGAAUUAGGCAAUUAUAGUUCUAAGUCUCACUAGAAUCCCAUCCACUAACUUUAUAAACAAACCCAAAACUAGGCAAUUCCCACAGUUCCAGAGAGGCUUGUUUUAGCCACAUAGUAGAGCUUAUUCCAAGGCACAGAUUUUGUGCUAAGACUAAUUUUGUAUAUCACAGUGAUUCAAAAAGUAAAGUCCCAUAGUGGUGGCUGCUGACAAAUUACAGGCCAGGAAAUGCAGUGUGUGCCUUGUGAACAGCAGCAUAUGAACAUUAUAUGAGUAUACAAUGUGAUUAAAAUUGCAUGUGUAACUGUUGAAGCUAUGAUAUAUAGCUCACACCACAUGUGAGUAUCCUACAUUGAUUAAACAAGAGAGAUGGGUUCAGCUUAUAAUGCAAAGGAGUUACUCCCCUUAUUGCCAUAUGGUUUUAAGGUGGAACCUCCUUUGUGUUGUGAAGUGGACUCUCUCUCCUUGUGAUGGGUGCGGCCCAGGCCCAUAUUUAACAUGGUAUCAGAGCCAAGCCCACAGAGGAU